AUUCUUAGAGGACGGUGCGUGGGAGGCCUCUACCCACUCAUAUCAUCUUCAUCAUCCUGGUUCAACAAACAAGCAUAUGUCGUCACCAAGCCAUCUUCAGCAAAGUGGCAUAGUCGUUUAGGUCAUCCAUCCUCAGUAAUUGUUAGUUAUAUUCUUAGCAAAAAUAAACUCUCAUAUGAGUCCAGUGUUGAGUCAGUUUGUGGUCCAUGUCAACAGACCAAAAGUCAUCAGUUACCCUAUCCUAUUUCUACCAGUGUAUCCAAUGCUCCACUACAACUUAUAUUUUCAGAUGUAUGGGGACCAGCCCCCACUUCGCUUGGUAGAUUUUCCUAUUAUGUUAGUUUCAUUGAUGACUAUAGUAAAUUUACUUGA
rnacentral:rRNA from 1 species